AUUUAACACUCGGUGCAGUUCGGUGGUUAAAUAGGCUCCGCUUUCCUUCCACUGCCCUCUGCUCCUGUCUGCGCCGACGCGCCAGGGAUGAUGCCUUUGAGGGACAAUAGAAAGACGGAACUUUUAACACUAUGGCACAAUAAGGGGUUGUCCAGGAGCUAAAAGCGAGCGCACAGCGCUAACAUUAGCAGGAGGCAAGAAGCUCUGCUAUCAAAACAGCCAACAGAAACUGACCCCUCAGCCAGACGGAGCCUUCCGGCUAAUCCUCCUUCAUACUGGCCGAGGUUGCUGAAACACUCCUCCCUGAAAGUGCUUCUCGCAAACCCCAUUGAUGUCGGCACGUUUCCAUGAAAAAUAAAAUUUCACCAGGCAGAGGUUCUGAUCCUGGGGGACGGUGUAAUGACUGGUGUGGG